GCAUCUCUACCACGUUUUUUGUGAUUAAAAAUCAAAAAUCUGAGCGUAGCGGGAAAUGAAAUUUUCUACUCCUUUUGAUAUUUUUAUCUUCUUCUAAAAAGAAAAUAAAUUAUAUAACGUACUCUGUCUCUCUUUCUCUCAAUACUCAAAAAAAACUCACAAGACAACGUUCCACUUAUUACUAUGAACUGAGAGAGAGAGAGAGAGAGAGAGAGCGAGUGCUCUCCCAGUUUCUUCUCACCCCAAAAAUCACAAUCACAUGGCGAGGGUUAAACACCCUGCUCAUAAAAAUCCAAAUCGAAAAAAAUUAUCUGGUCGCACCGGAGGAGGAGGAGGGGCCUCAACAUCUUCUCCAAGAACGUCUCCUAGUGGAAGGUCGAGCCAAACCAACAGGGAGAAUCCAAAAUCUCCAGGAACUCAGCGGAAGAAGCGACGUUAUAGGCCAGGAACAGUGGCCCUUCGUGAGAUUCGCCACUUUCAGAAGACUUGGAAUCUGGUCAUUCCAGCUGCUCCUUUCAUUAGAGUUGUAAGACAAUUAUCACAGCAAUUCUCUCCAGAGAUUAGUCGUUGGGCAGCAGAAGCUUUAGUAGCACUACAGGAGGCAGCGGAGGAUUUUUUGGUCCAUUUAUUUGAAGAUGCAACGCUCUGUACAGUUCAUGCGAAGCGUGUAACUCUGAUCUGCAUAGCCACAAACAUGAUGUACAACAUAUGCUAGCUUGAACAUUAUUCCUUUCGCCUAUGUUGUGCUGGAAGGUUUAUGAUUUUGGGUCGGGGCCCGUGGAGCCCGAUGGGCCAGGUUUGGGUGCAACAAAAAAACCCGUUUACUAAAUGGGCCGGAUUCGGGUAAAGGGUACAGGCCUGCAGGUCGGGUCCGGGCAUAAAGAAACCCGACCCAUUGCCAUUCCUAAGUCUAGGAAUCAACUACUCCAACAAACAAUUGGGGUGAAGAAAGAUUUUGAGUUGGCACGUCGGCUUGGAGGGAAAGGAAGGCCUUGGUGAGGGCACCAGCAACCAGAAUUUGGAAUUGUUCUUAAACUGACAGCAAUUACCAUUUUUUUUUCUUUACUAUUUCCUUGUAGUUUGAGUAUAGUUAUGUAGGAAGCAAUCUCACUUUACGUGACAUGAUGUAUUAUCAUCUAAUGUAGUUGUCUGAUCGUUCAACAUAUAGGAUACUGGCAUGUAAGGUUCUGACUUUAGAUAUUAAGGUGACGUGCGGAAUGGAUUGGAAAAUGGAACCUAAAAUAUAUUGAAGAAGAUCCAUGAUCUCCAUUGCAAAAAAAUGCUAGUUAUGCUUUUAAAGGAUUAAUGCGAAUUUCCCAUUAGACU